CGAAGCAAGCCUCGACACAGUGCUUUUGAACCAGUGUGUUGUUUUUUUCGACACACGCUCCGGAGCGUCAGCUUCACGCGGGCCAUCACUACCCGACGGCAGUCGACGCUGGAUUGUACUUGAAGCUCGGUAGUAAAGGGUGUUUGUUACUUGCAACAUAGCUUUAGCCGGCUAGCCUUCUCACCUGUUGUCGUCGCUCGUUUGUAGGAGGAAGAUAUACGGAGCAGGAGGUUGGAGAGAAGGAGCCCGCUGGAUUAAGCUCUCGGAGGAGAAAACGCACUCGGAUAAUCACUUUGAAAACUCACCUGCACACCACUGGGAGUUUGGAGAAGAUCACUGUUGGAUUUUUGCACUUCGCUUUGUGUUUUGAGACUGUUUUUGAGCACUGUAAAUAAACGCACUGUUUGCUUCGCAUCCAGAGCUCCGCGACUGAGUCCGUAUUUUCCCAUUACCCGUGACACUAUUUGGAUGUUUGAGGCACUGAUUAAUGCACACGUGACAUUGAUACCGACACAAAAAUUAUGACUGCUGCAGUUAAACUGACAGUCUCUUAGUCUGAUUGGACUGGACAACAUAUGAGAUUGGCUUAAGAAAAUACUGAUGUACAAUUGUAGUCAGAAGUUUACAUAUACCGUUACAAACCCCUUACUGCAAACUAUUUAUUUACAAUAAACUAUUUAUAAUUAACUUACAUUAUCAAAGUAAACAGGAGAUUAAAAAGAUAGCAAAACAACAUCAGCGUCUCCAAGGCCAAAAUGGCAAACAAACACAGGUAAUCCAAGUCCUCAUGCAUUGCACAUUAAUACAUGUCGCAGCCAGAAUGCUUGCUGUGUCUCCCAGCACAGUCCAAAUUCCAGGAGACAGGCCAUCAGCUGGACAAGACUGUAGAAAGCCCUUAACCCAUCACAGUCAGUGCACAGCUGCAGAUGAGGGAAUAUCUGGUCCGAAAUCCUGUUGGAAAUUCUCUGAACUCCAGACCGCCCAGGCAGGGCGCUCAAGCCCCUUCCGCCCUCACCUCUGCACGUGCCUGUGGGGAGCAGAUGCCUCUCUGCCUGACAGAUAUAUUGUUAGGCUCUGUCCCCACUCUCUUCAGUCUUGUGCAAGGGACAACUGAUAGAUUUUAUACUUGUGAGCAAAGACAACGAGUAGCAUUGUGUUCAACAUGAAGCUGAGAUAAAUAGUCUGGAGCUUGUCCAUUAAGUGCUCUGUAUGCAAGUGUGAGAAUUUGAAGACAUAAAUAAUAUUAAAUACA